CCUAGAAACGGGCGCUGUCAUAGCAGCCUCUGUAGCUGCGAGCCAGCCACGCUGCCAGGAGGAGCUGGGUCGGGGUGUUCAGACCUCCUCAGCAUCCCCCCCACCUCACACACACACCGGUCUCCACCUCAGGGAAGGGAGUGGUGGCUUGGGCUCCUCCUUGGAGCAGGGGAGGGCGCUAAUUGGAUUGGAACGCUCCAGAAACACAUCAGCUGCGCCUCCCUGGGGGAAAGGGGUUGAUGGGGGGAGGCUGCAGACAGUCUUUGUGAUGGGUCUCAGCUUCCCCUCCCCGCAGCCUGCGCCGGACCUGGUCCUCACCAGCCUCUGCCCACCCAGCGCCAUCCUAGGGCACAAUGGCAAGCUCGCUGUGGCGUGGAAGGAGGCGGACAUCCAUCAGAUAAUCACCACAGUGAAAUCCAGUCAUGAUAAGGAGGGUUAACAAAAAAAAUGGAGCAGCAGGCUAUUCAGCAGUGGGGAGGGCCUGGCCCGUGGGCCGGAUGGACAGCCAAGUCAGGAUGAGCUGGAGAGCAGGUUGGCCUGGUCAGAACCAGGAGGAGACUGGAGAGGCGGCUCAGCAUGCCCUGGAAGAAGGCUAGCCUGUGGGAUGCUGUUUCAGGGGCUCCCAGUUAUUCUGGAAGACACACACGAGGGCUGGGUAUCUUCAAAGAGCAGGCAGAACGCAUCCUGAGCCACCAGGCCACUGAGGAGGUUCAAGGAGUGCUAUGCCCCAACCCUCCCUCUCUCUAGAGCUGCACUGUCCAAUAUGGUGGCCACUAGCCACAUAUUUACAUUUAAAUUAAAUUAAAAUUAAAAUUCUUUUUUUCCUUCCUAAAGCCCCAGUGCAUGGUUGUAUAUCCCAGUUGUAAGUGGUUCUGGUUCUUCUAUGUGAGCCACCGCCACAGCAUGGCAGCUGACAGAUGGGCCACGGACGUGGUGAGUGCUGAACUUUAACCACUAAGCCAUCAGGGCUGGCUCUAAAUUUAAAUAUUUUAGAAAUAAAAAAUUCAGUCCCUAAGUCACACUUAGCCGCACAUGAAGUGUUCAAUAGCCAGGUGUAGCUAGUGGCUGCCACAUUGCACAACACAGAUAUAGACCAUUUCCAUCAGCACAGACACUUCCAUUGGACAGUGUGCUCUAGAAAGAUGAGGAAAAAGCCCAAGUAGGUCGGUUUGUUUGUUUUUACCCUGACUUGUUUCUAAAAGGAUCUGAGGUAGCUGAGGACAGCCCAAGGCCAUCAGACCAGUGCCCCCUGGCUGGAGGUGGGAAGGUUGGUGCCUGGGCUGAGCCGGUCACUAGUAGGGAAGCGAGGCCCCUAGAGGGCGGAGCUCCAGGGCCGAGGUAAGAAGUGGGAGGGAAAGUGGAGGUGGGGACGUUGUGGGAGCGACUGUCAAAGGACAAGGUGGUGAGCCGUCAGAUGUUGAACAAUGAGAGAGCUACGGGAAUGAAGCUCUUCGUUCCUCUUAGCAAUAUACGGUUAUCUGACCUGUUAAUCAAGGAGUCCCCUGUGCCCUUCUGUUCUCAGAUACAAAUUCCAAAUUCCAGCUAAUCAGAUGCAAUUAAAGGAUGUUGUUGGCUGGGUGCAAGUUCUGACUUGCAACACCAGGGUAGGCUGCCAGGCUUGGAACCGUGCUCACCACCUGGCUGUUAGGUUUUGAGCAGCCAUGCCAGAGGCAGCAGAAUGGGGAAACAUCCUUCCCCAUGGGUGAUGUGAGUAGAAAGGCUCUCGCUGAAGGGAGCCAGGCCCUGCGUGCUUUUGUGCAGUACUUUCAAAGCCAAGAUACACUCUAGAGGUGAGCUUUUUUUUUUUUUUUCUUCUGAGGAAGAUUAGCCCUGAGCUAAGAUCUGUGCCAAUCUUCCUCUAUUUCAUAUGUGGGUCACCAGCACAGCAUGGCUGACGAGUGGUGUUGGUCUGCACCCGGGAUCUGAACUCGUGAACCUGGCCUGCUGAAGCAGAGCGUGCCAAACUUAACCACUAUGCCAUGGGUCCGGCCCUUAGGGAUGGUCUCUUUUUGAGGGCAAAUAAGAGUUUUAAAAACGUUUGCUCAAUUUGACAUUUGUGUUAAACUCAUUGGCUUGUGGGAUUAAAGGCAAGCCAAACAUAUAUUAAGAUGAUUUUAAUUUAAGCUUUGUUGGGAAGUUAAAGACAUCACAGAGUGGGAUGGGGUGCCAAGGGGAGCAGCUUCUUGUUGCUUAAUUUGAGAUAAUGUAUUCCCAUAAAUUUUUUUUUUACGUUUAUUUUGAGGUAUAACAGACACAGCAAAGUGAUCUUUACUAAUCUUUAACGUACAGCCUGGUGGAUUUUUAUGUAUGUAUGUACCUGUGUGACCUCCACCCAGAUCAGGAUACAGAACAUUUCCAGCGCCUUGGAAGGUUCCUCCUUUCUCCCUCCUGUUCAAUUCUCCUCCCCAGACGUAAUUGCUGUUCUGAUUUCUACCACUGUCAAUUAGCUUUGCCUGCUCUCGAACUUCAUAUAAAGAGGAUUGUAGCUUCUA
rnacentral:lncRNA from 1 species